CCUACGGGAGGCAGCAGUGGGGAAUAUUGCACAAUGGGGGAAACCCUGAUGCAGCGACGCCGCGUGAGUGAAGAAGUAUUUCGGUACGUAAAGCUCUAUCAGCAGGGAAGAAAAUGACGGUACCUGACUAAGAAGCCCCGGCUAACUACGUGCCAGCAGCCGCGGUAAUACGUAGGGGGCCAGCGUUAUCCGGAUUUACUGGGUGUAAAGGGAGCGUAGACGGCAGCACAAGUCUGGAGUGAAAUCCCAUGGCUUAACCAUGGAACUGCUUUGGAAACUGUGCAGCUAGAGUGCAGGAGAGGUAAGCGGAAUUCCUAGUGUAGCGGUGAAAUGCGUAGAUAUUAGGAGGAACACCAGUGGCGAAGGCGGCUUACUGGACUGUAACUGACGUUGAGGCUCGAAAGCGUGGGGAGCAAACAGGAUUAGAUACCCUUGUAGUC
rnacentral:rRNA from 1 species